AAAUUGUCUGUGCUUGUAUAUGUGAAUGGCCUCAUGAACGAAUCUCUCAUGGUAGCCGGUUGGUUUGCAGUGUUGGUGUAGGUGAGCUGUGGUUAGUUUAGUGUUAGUGUAGGUGAGUGCAGUAGUGGUGUUUUGUGUGGCGAGUUUAGUAGUGGUGUGGGUGACUUUAGUGUUGGUAGUAUCAUAGAGGCUAUGGCACGUUUCCGCUUACGGGAAUUUCCAUGCAGGGAGUAUAAAUAGCCUUCGAGCGUACACGGACGGUCCAGAUCACAGCCGCAUUUGUUCAUCUUCCAAGCUUCUCGACAAUUUCACAACAAGAUGUUUCCCAACAAUGGUCGGAAGAGGGCAUCUCCAGACGGUUCUGAGAAUGAAAAAAAAUACAUGGAGAUGCAGAAAAAAAACCAAGAAUUGGAAAGUGAAAUUGAAAAAAUAAAAAAAAUUCAAGUGGGAAAAUUGUUCAACGAAAUUCAAGCUGAAGUCAAAGACGUUGCAAGAAACAUCGCAGAAUCCGUGAAAAAUAAUGGAAUACGCAGCUUCAAAGCCGUUGGCAUUUUGAUUUCCCAAGCUAUUAAAGAUAUUUAUCAUGGAAAAGGGCUCUCGGUUCUCAUGACCCUUGCUGAUUUCACGAGCCGCAUGUUCUUCUAUUUUGUGUACAAUGUCAUCUCUUUCGUUAUAGCUCUCGGGAUUUCCGCAUUGUUUUUGGUGGUCGCUACCCCCGUGGUGUUGUUGGGCAGUGCAUUGAAAAGCAUCGCGAGUGCCAUUUGGAAUCGAAUCAAAUCACUGGGAAACGUCACAUACUCGUUUGUGGAGAUGUUUGUGAGCAAUGUGUGUGAAGGUCAGACCUUCGGCGAUGUUUCUCAAACACUGAAAAUGAUCAAUUCAGCUGCUUAAGCAUGAGUUGUUGAACACAACGUACCUGCAACAGCUACUACUGAACCUUCAUAUACAACAGCAUAUAACCCAUCGCUACAACGGUGAUUAAUUAUCCAUAUUUUUUUUAUUAACUACUAGACUUCAGAUUGCUUUGGUAAGAAAACAACUGCAGUACAGACUGCAGCAUAAAUAUAUCUUAUUCAGGCGCUAUUGCAUGACUGACCAAGUAUGAGCACAGUACGGCAUUCCAAUAUCUGAUGCGCAAUGAUGCUGUAAUUUGGUGAACGCUGGCCUAAUUUGUGAGAUGCGCUUUUGACCAAGAAAUAUUUACUUUUAAAUAACCGUUGUAAAAUAUAUCUAUCUAUCCUUAAACACAAUGCCUGAAACAUCGCAGCAUGGUUACUAUCUAGGUAGUUUCAUACUCAUUUUCAAUUUCAUAACUGACAGACCCUUUUCAUCAUUGGCGAUCUUUAAGCUUCUGUCAUGUAGUUCCGCCUUAUUGCUCAAAUCCCAUUAACUGCUCCGUUUUGAUUCCCCUUUACACUCGUACUUUACAUUUCCCCUUUUUCAGAAUCAACUUUACCACAACCACCACCAUUCCACAAUAUCUAAAAUAACAUGAUUGAUCCUCCUGUUAACACUUCCCACCUAACCUCAAACGAAGAGUGCUGCUGUGCUGUGUAACCGAUGCAUGUUUAGUUUUUAGAAAGAAAUGUUUAAUUUGCGCACCUACGCUGUGCCAUUUCUUUAUUGUUUAUCCGUUUUUAAUCUUCUGAGGGUUUAUUGCUUGGUAAGUGGCAUAUAGGAUUUGGUACUUAUAUAUUAGCAUGUGGCCGUAUAUAACAUUAAAUUAUUAUUCAGGGUUUGGAACAUAGUUAAGGCUACGAUUUUGCUACUUAAACAAAAAAAAGCAGAGGUGUAGGAAUACAAAUAGCGAUUCCAAUAAUAACUCGCUGAUAUGUCAUGGAAAAAAGGUGGGGGGGGGGGGGGGGAGUAAACCAUAUAAUUAAAAAAAACCUGCUAAAACAACCCGUUAAUCUUUUUAAAAGCAUACACUUGGUGCAUAAUACAAGUAGUAUAAGUUGUGGUAUUUUAAAUUGAUAAAAAAAAAACUAAUACAAUAUGGGGUACCCGGCGUGCAUAGGUAAAGCCUAUGAUGCACCUCAUGUCCUCUUCCUCCCCCCUCCACUUUGCCCCGACCACGGCCACUGCGGUGCUGGCUGGUACCGCUCCGUUUCGUGUGCUGGAAAUGCAAAUCUGACAUUGGUGUUGCAUAUAAAGGAAGCACUAACAAUUGUGUCUCGGGCCAUUUCCAUUAUUUUAGUUCAGACUUUACUCGUGGUUUCCAUGACCUCCCUGACCUCUGUGCCAAAGUUUUAGCAUUUGGUUCAUGAACAAAACUAUUACCGUUAUGCAUGAAAGCACCAGAAUGACAUCUGCGGUACUAUGGAUACAACAAUGUGUGUUUUCGCUUCUCUUUAGGUGCGAAAGGGUAAAAUGUAAAACGUGAAAUUUCAAACGCAUGCAAUUAAUCAAAAUGUUUUAGUCUGAAAGUUAUAACAUGGGACGUUUUCAAUCUACAUUUGACAAGAAACCAACUAAAUGGUGCUUGGUGUUAAUCAUGUUAUUGGGUUACUGAUUGGUAAAUUGGUUGAAUAAAUUAUCCAUCCAUCAA